CCCAAGGUGAUUGCAUAGGGAUGCACGCUGGGGGUCGCCCCCAAAUUAGGGGGCAAGCUUGGUGGAGGGGAUGGGAUCCUUCCGUGAUCUCUCGGUCCCUCCCACCGUGGAGAUUAUUAGAGAGAUCUCAAGGGGGCAGAAUUUCUUCUCACCCUCCCCACCUCCCCAUCGACUUCUCCAUUUCUUUACAUUCGGCUCAAUUUAGGGCGGGGGGCGGGUGCGAGGAGGACCCUCUGGUUAAGCAUCAUCGAUUCUCUCCAAUUUUCUCCCUUAAAUCCUCCCUUCGGACCCCGCCCCCCAACGUCUCUCUUCUCUGCCAGUUGAGGAGGGUUACUCGGGGGUGAGCCCCCUCCCCCACCCAGGGAGGGGGGAUGGGCGGGGAGGGCCCGGUCCCUCUCGCCGCCCCCCGGCCCGCCCGGGAAGAGGAUGGCGGGAUCCUGCAAUCGAGGGCACCGAGGCGGGAAGACCCUCCCAGGUGCCAGCUCCCGGGAGCCCCCUCCCCCACGCGCCGGCUAGGGGUUGAGCCCGGCCACCCUCUGAGGCUUCCGCAGCGGGUCCCGCAGGCCACGCCCCCACGUGACGUCACCCGUGUGGUCACACCCCUCCCGUAGAGCGCCACCUGGCCCGGGCCAUUCUCUGACGUUAAUUCUUGUCUGAAGAAUUGAGUAAUCCUCUCCCCUUCGACCCUACCCUGGGAGAUCUUGAAUCCUGAUCCACAUGUACACAAGGAGCCUGAUCGAGGAUCUUGAUGGCAGCAAGGAGGCGAGAACAAGAAAUUGGAAAUAACCUGAAUGCCUAUCAAGAGGAGGAUGGAUAGUGAAACCAUUGUGCAUCCCUCGUCUGAAGCGCUGGGCAGCAGCUAAAAAAAAUGAGGUGUGUAAAUGGCACGAAAGAGGUCUCCAACAUAUUAUUGAGUGAAAAAAACAAAUUGCCAAAUGAUACGUAGGGUAUGACAAAAAUGAAGGAAACACCUUAAGGGACCACAUACGUGUGUGUACAUGCAGAGUAAAAGGUCUGGAAAAAUUUACUCCCAACUCACCACAGUGCUGACCAAUAGGAUAAGGAAUGGGGCUGUGGGCAAUUUGAUUUCAAAUAAAGAUUUCAAGCCUUAUCUUGAAAAUGCCAAGUCUCCACCUGCCUCUAGGCUUUCCAACUGCCUCUUCCUUCUGCCUUGAGACACUCUUCUCUGGGGUAUUUGCAUGGCUGCCUCCUUCUCUGUCAGGUUUCUGCUCAGUCGUGCCCUCCACAGAGAUCUUCCCUGAGCCCCUCUGUCUAAAGCGACCAUCCCCAGGUGCAAAAUUGAGUGGCUGUGGGGCGGGGGAGGGAGAAAGGCUUUUCAUCGUUCACCCUUCUGUACCCUUUGAAUUUCCGACCGAGCAAACUUACGACCCAUUCGAGAAAUAAAUGAGUAACAAUUUUAAAAAAC